AAAGAGCAGAAGAGAACUUUGGGAAAGCAGAAGGGAAUUCCUAUAAAUAGUACACAAUUACUAGAAAGCACCAGGGAACUUUCUACUGACAUGGAACUUAUACCUGGAAGACGUCCCUGGUUUUAGCCUCUCCUGAAUGGAGAGGACUGGUUUGAUGGACUGAGAAGAGACUCUGGAUGCCUGUGUUAGUGAAGCUGAGCCCUGAUGAGCUUUGAGGGAAGGGAGCAGGGAGAACUGGGUGCUUUGGAAGGCCCCUGACCUUGGGACAGAUUCUGACAAGUGCAUAAUGAAACUCAAGGGAACAUUUCCAGCCUGGGAAAGUACAGCCUGCUAGAGACUGUCUCAGCAACAGGGCAGGGAAAAGCCAAGGACAUCAAAGCAGGAUGUAAUGAGGGAGAAGUUACUCAUGUUAGGGGGAAAAAACUGUUCUGCCUGAUGUGGUGGGACAGGCAUGGAGGCUGGGGCAGGAUAACAGAUCCAGCUGAGCAAGGGUGAGAGUGGGUUUGGGAUAACAUCAUAGUUUGGGGUAGUUGGUUCACAGGGUUUUUCAAAAGUUUGAAUGAAAGUUACUUCAGGAGGAGUGAAGCAGCCCAAGGUUUAGACCUUGGUACAGAUUCUCAUUUGGAAUAUUGUUCCAGUGUUUUGUUGAACUUGGUGGGAUGCUUCUGACUGCCAUCAAGCCCAGACUGUGUGAUUUGACUUUGACAAGCAGCCUUGGAGAAGAGUUUAAUCCCAGAAUCUGAGGGUGGAACUGCAACAUCACAACGGCAGCAGGGCUGUCUGGGGAGGUGCAGAUGGGAAAAUGCUGCCUGAGGCAGCAGAGCUGCACGACUGGCACAUUUGGAGAGGUCAGGUCGUUGCUGGACUGCUGCUUGACCCUGUCUGCUGUAGCUGGACCUGCUGUGCUCCGUGGGCUUUGUGGGGCUGCUCCCCUUGCAGAGAGCCCUGGCUGAGCUUCUGUGGCUCCCUGUGGUGCUGAAAUGCUGCUGCCAGCCUUCACUAUGAGCAAGAAGUGAUGCCUCUAACUUUUUGCUGAACAGACUCUUCUCCUGACACCUCCUGGAACCCUGGAUCCCACCAGAUGGGAUGUGGGACAACAGUGAAAGGAACCCCUUGGAAACAGCUGUUUUUGAACAGUGGGAAAUUAUUUUUGAGCAAAAAAAAAGGCGUUUUCUACUGGUAUCUUUUUUGUAAGUCCAAAACCUAAUCCAUUUUCAUAUUUUUCCAGAUUUAUUUGUGAACAGUUUGAGUUAAUUUUCUCAAAAGCAAGAUUUAUGGCUCGAAGAACAGCAGUAAUUUUGAAGUGAGAAAGAUUAUAAUAGUUAAAAUUUCAGAAAAAAAUUUAAACAUCGUUACAAUCCUUAUAGAGUAGAACAUUUUCAGUGCAUUUUGUUCACGUAUGACAUUCUUCAAAAAAGAGAACAACUUCUGAUGAGAACAGUUUAAUGCAGAAACUUCCAGUCAUGUUUCUUCCUUGCUUGAGAGGAUAAAAUAUAGUGAUAGAGAGCUUUGGGAUAACGUGUGGCUUGAGUAAAACCUUUCUAGCAAACAGUGCAGGCAGUCACAUUUAGACAUUUAGUAACUUCAUUUGUGCUGUUUAGUUCCCCUCAUUGUAAAAUAUUGAUUAUAUUUAAAAAAAUUGAUUAAAUGAGUACGUGAAGGUAA